rnacentral:lncRNA from 1 species
UUUACUUUGUCAGAGCAAUCUUACAAAUGAAAAGGCAUUUGUUUUUCUUUAAAAAAGAUACUGUGCUUUUGUCAAAUGUUUAUUGAAUUUGCAUCUGUCAUAAUCAAUGAGCACCUGUCUUAGGAUCCUGGUGCUCAGCACUGCUCCCUGUCUGGUUCACAUCUGCAGGCACCUGAGAAUGAAUAGAGCUCCUCUGCUCUCUCGUUAGCCCCAUCCCAAAGGCUGAGCCUCUACUGUUUGGGAACUAUCAAGAGAAGACACAGCUAUCAAGCCAGGAGUUUCAGAGCCCACUUCCUGAGAGCUCACUGGACAAAGGCUCCAUGCCCACUCCAAGGGUUGGCCCUGGUCAGCCCUCUCUUCUGUUUGGGCUCUCUCAACUCAGUAACCCCACAGGAGGUGGUGUCCUCAGAGGCCCAGGGAGUGGUCCCAACCCACUUUGUAAACCUUGGGCAGUUGCUGAAGGCAGAUCUUCCGCCAAAGCCCUCAUCGAGCCUCAUUCUCAGCCACAUCGUAAGGAUUUAGAGGCCCUAAGCACUGACGACGCUGUGGUGCCACAAAAAUAGACAAGCAGGGCAUGUGCGCUGAAGCUGGAAGAGGCUUCUUCCAUAUUUUCAUUGCAAAAUCAGAACUUUGAUAACCCUGCAUUUUACCGAGAUGUCAAAGCAGGAAGUGCUUGGCUGGAACAUCUGCCGACAGCCUCAUCUCUUUCUGCAAGAUCAUGAUGUUCUGCAUGCUCCUGUGGCCUCUUAUUUCACGUUGCUCUCCCUGCAAAUUUUGAAACAACUUUAAAGAUGAAUAAAAAGCAGCUCAGCAAGUGAAUCCCAGAUCCCGGUAAGAGAGUGUCUCCCCCAACUCACAUAGUGAGUGCACAUCAUCCCCAGAACCACCAUGAGAGUGAGCCUGGUAGCGGGUAGCACCCUGCCUGUGACGAAGCCAGCACACUAUGACGAGCAGCAGCUUCUAGACCCAUGGACCACGGGCACUGCCAACGCUCUCCCUCCGGGGACUCCUCCUGCCUCCCAUACAGGGCCAAACUCCGACGCCCACGAGCUCGCUCAGAAUUGGCUCAGGCUGCAAUCACUUCUCUUCUCCUACCUCCACACCAUUCCCUGAUGGUGGACAGCUUCUCCUUUGAGAACCACACCUGCCUUUUCAGACAAAAGGAGACACCACCCACCCUCCUGCUGAGGGCUGCUCCCCUGGGGCCUUCUCAGCACACCUCUCUCUCUCUAGGUCAAAAAACAAAUUUCACAUGCUGAAUUUUUACCUUUUUUAAAGUGACUCCGAAUUUUGGCACCAGCAAUUAAUUCAACACUUGAAUAAGAUUUGAAAACCUCACAACAAAUCACAAAUAUAUUAUGGGUCCUGUU